AAAUUGAAGAGUUUGAUCAUGGCUCAGAUUGAACGCUGGCGGCAGGCCUAACACAUGCAAGUCGAGCGGUAGCACAGAGAGCUUGCUCUCGGGUGACGAGCGGCGGACGGGUGAGUAAUGUCUGGGAAACUGCCUGAUGGAGGGGGAUAACUACUGGAAACGGUAGCUAAUACCGCAUAACGUCGCAAGACCAAAGUGGGGGACCUUCGGGCCUCAUGCCAUCAGAUGUGCCCAGAUGGGAUUAGCUAGUAGGUGGGGUAACGGCUCACCUAGGCGACGAUCCCUAGCUGGUCUGAGAGGAUGACCAGCCACACUGGAACUGAGACACGGUCCAGACUCCUACGGGAGGCAGCAGUGGGGAAUAUUGCACAAUGGGCGCAAGCCUGAUGCAGCCAUGCCGCGUGUAUGAAGAAGGCCUUCGGGUUGUAAAGUACUUUCAGCGGGGAGGAAGGCGAUAAGGUUAAUAACCUUGUCGAUUGACGUUACCCGCAGAAGAAGCACCGGCUAACUCCGUGCCAGCAGCCGCGGUAAUACGGAGGGUGCAAGCGUUAAUCGGAAUUACUGGGCGUAAAGCGCACGCAGGCGGUCUGUCAAGUCGGAUGUGAAAUCCCCGGGCUCAACCUGGGAACUGCAUUCGAAACUGGCAGGCUAGAGUCUUGUAGAGGGGGGUAGAAUUCCAGGUGUAGCGGUGAAAUGCGUAGAGAUCUGGAGGAAUACCGGUGGCGAAGGCGGCCCCCUGGACAAAGACUGACGCUCAGGUGCGAAAGCGUGGGGAGCAAACAGGAUUAGAUACCCUGGUAGUCCACGCCGUAAACGAUGUCGAUUUGGAGGUUGUGCCCUUGAGGCGUGGCUUCCGGAGCUAACGCGUUAAAUCGACCGCCUGGGGAGUACGGCCGCAAGGUUAAAACUCAAAUGAAUUGACGGGGGCCCGCACAAGCGGUGGAGCAUGUGGUUUAAUUCGAUGCAACGCGAAGAACCUUACCUGGUCUUGACAUCCACAGAACUUAGCAGAGAUGCUUUGGUGCCUUCGGGAACUGUGAGACAGGUGCUGCAUGGCUGUCGUCAGCUCGUGUUGUGAAAUGUUGGGUUAAGUCCCGCAACGAGCGCAACCCUUAUCCUUUGUUGCCAGCGGUCCGGCCGGGAACUCAAAGGAGACUGCCAGUGAUAAACUGGAGGAAGGUGGGGAUGACGUCAAGUCAUCAUGGCCCUUACGACCAGGGCUACACACGUGCUACAAUGGCAUAUACAAAGAGAAGCGACCUCGCGAGAGCAAGCGGACCUCAUAAAGUAUGUCGUAGUCCGGAUUGGAGUCUGCAACUCGACUCCAUGAAGUCGGAAUCGCUAGUAAUCGUAGAUCAGAAUGCUACGGUGAAUACGUUCCCGGGCCUUGUACACACCGCCCGUCACACCAUGGGAGUGGGUUGCAAAAGAAGUAGGUAGCUUAACCUUCGGGAGGGCGCUUACCACUUUGUGAUUCAUGACUGGGGUGAAGUCGUAACAAGGUAACCGUAGGGGAACCUGCGGUUGGAUCACCUCCUUACCUUAAAGAA
rnacentral:rRNA from 4 species